CAAAGUGUAGCUUAAACCCAAAGCACCUAGUUUACACCUAGGAGAUGCCACACUCCAAUGGACACUUUGA
rnacentral:tRNA from 1 species